CCUACGGGGGGCAGCAGUGAGGAAUAUUGGUCAAUGGGCGAGAGCCUGAACCAGCCAAGUCGCGUGAGGGAGUACUGCCCUAUGGGUUGUAAACCUCUUUUGUCGGGGAGCAAAAGCCGGACGUGUCCGGCUGUGAGAGUACCCGAAGAAAAAGCAUCGGCUAACUCCGUGCCAGCAGCCGCGGUAAUACGGAGGAUGCGAGCGUUAUCCGGAUUUAUUGGGGUUAAAGGGUGCGCAGGCGGAUUUUUAAGUCAGCGGUCAAAUCGUGGGGAUCAACCCCAUCCAGCCGUUGAAACUGGGGAUCUAGAGUGUGCGAGAGGCAUGCGGAAUGCGUGGUGUAGCGGUGAAAUGCAUAGAUAUCACGCAGAACCCCGAUUGCGAAGGCAGCAUACCGGUGCACAACUGACGCUCAGGCACGAAAGCGUGGGUAUCGAACAGGAUUAGAUACCCUGGUAGUC
rnacentral:rRNA from 1 species